CCGGAUGCCCAGAUAAAUCUGAAUUUCAGGUAAACAAUGAAUAACUAUUUAGUAUAAAUAAAUAUGUCCCAUGCAAUAUUUGGGGCAUACUUAUACUAAAAUGUAUUUGUUGUUUAUCUGAAAUUCUAAUUUAACUGGGUGUCCUGUA
rnacentral:miRNA from 1 species